AUUGAACGCUGGCGGCAGGCCUAACACAUGCAAGUCGAGCGAGCGGCGGACGGGUGAGUAAUGUCUGGGAAACUGCCUGAUGGAGGGGGAUAACUACUGGAAACGGUAGCUAAUACCGCAUACCAUCAGAUGUGCCCAGAUGGGAUUAGCUGGUAGGUGGGGUAACGGCUCACCUAGGCGACAAUCCCUAGCUGGUCUGAGAGGAAGACCAGCAACACCGGAACUGAUACACGGUCCAGAUUCCUACGGGAGGCAGCAGUGUGGAAUAUUGCACAAUGGGCGCAAGCCUGAUGCAGCCAUGCCGCGUGUAUUAAGAAGGCCUUCGGGUUGUAAAGUACUUUCAGCGGGGAGGCGUUACCCGCAGAAGAAGCACCGGCUAACUCCGUGCCAGCCGCCGCGGUAAUAC
rnacentral:rRNA from 1 species